UACGUAGGGAGCAAGCGUUGUCCGGAAUUACUGGGCGUAAAGAGCUCGUAGGCGGUUUGUCGCGUCGUCUGUGAAAACCAGCAGCUCAACUGCUGGCUUGCAGGCGAUACGGGCAGACUUGAGUACUGCAGGGGAGACUGGAAUUCCUGGUGUAGCGGUGAAAUGCGCAGAUAUCAGGAGGAACACCGGUGGCGAAGGCGGGUCUCUGGGCAGUAACUGACGCUGAGGAGCGAAAGCGUGGGUAGCGAACAGG
rnacentral:rRNA from 1 species